CCGAAAGUGCCCUGAAUGGACGGGGAAUUGUCAACUGAAGGUUGAUGGUUUCUCAGGUCCUGGUCCAGGGUGUGUCUCUGGAUAUCAAGUGGCCUUUGAGUCUUCAAAGUUAAAUUUUCUGCUUUGAAAUAAAACCUUUCCCCUAUUCAAGGGCUGGUCUCCCUGUUUCUGGUGUCACAGAGGAGAUUCUAAACUACUUUAAUGGAGAAAAGCCUAGAAGGGCUCAGUGUCCCUGCCCCUGACAAUGACUGGCCAUUUGCUCCUUUAGAUACUGCUUUCUGGAGAGGAGUGGUUGGAGCCAGCUGCCUGUCUGCUCUAGUGGCCAAGUGUCUGAGAGUUUGCUCCCACGAGGCAGGGCUCUCACAUGCUAGAUCCCCAUGUGUUAGCAAAGAAGAAAGACUCUGCUGUAUGUGUAACCUCUAUGUUCUGGAAGCCCAGUGCUCUGGGGAGGCCAGAAGUUAUGGGGGCUUCUCCUGGAAGCCAUGUCCAUGUUGCUUUGUUGUGCAGCCUGUGUUGUGCUGGAUGCUCCAAGCCCUCAGGCUCUGUUUGCUUUUUGCAAUGUAGACCCAUGUGCACACAUGCAGAACAAUAAUCUUUCUUCUGUUUCCUGAUUCCACUCCUGUAAUCCCAGCCCUUCAGAGAUGGAAGCAAGAGAAUCAGGAGCUUAAGGACAGCCUGGGCUACAUGAGACCCUCUUUCAAAACUAGGAACGCAGAAACUAAGAAGGGAAACCACAGAAGGGAAAACCACAGAAGGCUCGCCUGUCACGGCUUUAAAUCGUCUUAAAUGAAAGUAGACUGUUUCCCUAGAGGCAUCUGACCACUAUUGUGCUAGCAUCCAUUUUAAUGAAUGAAUAUUUUGGGAUACAUUUUGUCAAUCAACAUUCUCAAAGCGUUACUUGCUGAAUAUUGCUGUCAGAACAUUCAAAAGAUCGUAGUUGAUGAUGCUCAAUGGUUAGAUGUGCAUUUAAUUGAGCAUUUGUUGUUAAUGGCCCCAAAUACCUUGGAGCUGAGAGGUCAACCUCAGAUCUGGUCAACAGCAGCCCACGAGCUGAAGCCUGAGUCCUCUUUGCCCCUCUGUAUGGCUCGGUGCAUACGGGGUGCAGGCUAUCAUUGGCCUGUGUUGUACCGUCUUAGCUAUUCCGCUCUGCAGCGUUGGCCAUGGUGAACACAGGUGCACACAUCCAUAGAGAGGGGGAAACCCUCCACAAUGUCCUGUGUCUGACAGCCAGCACACAGCUCCUGGUGUUCUGCGUUUUGUGCAUUUUCCAACAAAGAAAAAGACAGAGACCCACUAUAAAAUGUGAAAAAGAUUGUGUUCUGUAUGUGGCUUGUCAUGAAAUCUUUGCUGUAUGUUUUUGGGGAUGACGAUUCUAUGUAUAUACAGUAUGUAAGAGGCUAUGCUGUUCAAUGUUGCAUAAACAACAGAUUCUCUAGUCUGAAUACUUAACUUGUUAUUGUAAAAUGUGAUUUCUCAUUGAGAGAUUAUUUUUCUGUAUGUAUAUGAGAGUAUUUUAGGAAUCUAACUUAAGUGCAUAAACUAUAGAAGAAACUUAAAAACUUAUCCCAGGAGUAGCAAUGUGUGAUCAGAUCACUUGGGUUCAACCCAACUAAAUUUUAUUAAAAAAAAAAAACAAAUCCAAGUUGGAUGUUUAGGAACUCAAAAGUGUGGAUUUUUUCUUCUGCCUUGCAGGGGAUAUGUGGUCAAUGAGAUGGGAGGAGCCAUGAUAAAACGGAAGAGAUCUUGUAACCGUGACCUGAGAUGAGACCAUGUUCCACCACAGGUUAACUCAUACCGAUGCACGCAUAUUCAGAAGAGACGAACAGCCUGCCAGUCUUCCACCAGACCUGCUGCCACAGAUGGUGGGCUCUAGUCAGGAGCUGGCAUGGCCACGUUCAGGGGCAUUCAGGGAGGCCACAUGCUGGUUUCAGCCUCUUUCAGCAUUUCGAAGCACACAGGGAGGCUGAGCUUAGGUUUCCUAGGUGCAGUGGUCUUCAGGCAGGAAGAGCGGGUAGUCUGAAGCUCCCAGGAGGGGCCUACUUCCCUACUCCUCUCACUUCCCAGAAAAAUAUCCAAAGUCCAGGCUGCUCCUGGGUG
rnacentral:lncRNA from 1 species